GAUGAACGCUGGCGGCGUGCUUAACACAUGCAAGUCGAACGGAAAGGCCUCUGCUUGCAGGGGUACUCGAGUGGCGAACGGGUGAGUAACACGUGGGUGAUCUGCCCUGCACUUCGGGAUAAGCCUGGGAAACUGGGUCUAAUACCGGAUAGGACAAUGGUUUGGAUGCUGUUGUGGAAAGUUUUUCGGUGUGGGAUGAGCUCGCGGCCUAUCAGCUUGUUGGUGGGGUAAUGGCCUACCAAGGCGUCGACGGGUAGCCGGCCUGAGAGGGUGUACGGCCACAUUGGGACUGAGAUACGGCCCAGACUCGUACGGGAGGCAGCAAUGGGGAAUAUUGCACAAUGGGCGCAAGCCUGAUGCAGCGACGCCGCGUGGGGGAUGAAGGCCUUCGGGUUGUAAACUCCUUUCGCUAGGGACGAAGCGUUUUUGUGACGGUACCUGGAGAAGAAGCACCGGCUAACUACGUG
rnacentral:rRNA from 1 species